rnacentral:tRNA from 1 species
GGAGAGAUGGCUCAGUGGUUAAGAGCACUGACUGGGCUUCCAGAGGACCUGGGUUCAAUUCCCAGCAUCCA